CCUGGGUGGGGGGGACUCGGGGCACCCCGCCGUGGGUUGAUUUGGGGUGAUUUUGGGACGGCUGUGCCAGCCCCGCGCCCGCUGCCAAGGCUGCCACGGUGCCACCAGCCCCGGCGCGGGGACCAGCGCCACCCCCGGCCGUGUCCCCAAGUGACCCCGUCUCGCCGCUCUCGCCUUUCCCAGGCCAGGGCGGAGUCCCGGGAGGGGACACGCGGGACAAGCCGGGCACCGGUGCCACCCGGUGAGUCACCGCUCGGGGCAGGGAGAACCCCGCGUCCCCGCCCGUCCCCGCCGCGCUCUCAGACGCGCUUGUCUCCUGCCAAGAGCCGCUAAUGAGAAACAAACGGGUUCCUCGGCCGCGGCUGCUCCCGGCCCACACACCUCCGGCCGCGGGGCCGGGCUCGCACCUCCCGGUGCCCUCCUGGCAGCCGCCGCGGGCACCUGCAGCCUCCCAUCUGGCACCGGUACCGGGCAUCUGCAUCCCGCCCAGCUGGCACCGGUACCGGGCAUCUGCAUCCCGCCCAGCUGGCAGCGCCGUCCUGGCAUCAGCGCCGUCCCUGGGUGUCCCUGUCCUGCACCAUCCCCGGGCGUCUCCAUCCUCCCUGUCCUGCUCCAUCCCUGAGCAUCUCCAUCCUCCCUGUCCUGCUCCAUCCCUGACCAUCUCCAUCCUCCCUGUCCUGCUGCAUCCCUGAGCAUCUCCAUCCUCCCAGGGCAUCUCUGUCCUGCUCACGUCACCGUCCCUGAGCAUCUUAACUGUCGCCAUCUGUCACCGUCCCAGGGUGUCACCAACCUCCCCAUCCAGCACCGUCCCUGAGCAUCUCCACACUGCCCACCCAGCAUCACCCGUGAGCGUCUCUGUCCUGUGCCACUGUCCCCGGGCAUCUCUGUCCUGUCCCACUGUCCCCAAACAUCUCUGUCCUGUGCCACUGUCCCCGAGGAUCUCUGUCCUGUGCCACUGUCCCCAAACAUCUCUGUCCUGUGCCACUGUCCCCGGGCAUCUCUGCCCUGUCCCUCUGUCCCUCGGGCUCUCUGUCCUGUCCCGCUGUCCCUCGGGCUCUCUGCGCUGCCCAGGUGCCACCAUCCUCUCCUCUCGUCACCAUCCCAGGCCAUUUCCAUCCUGCCACCCUCCCUGCGCUCUCCACCCGCGGCAGGGCUGUCCCGAGGCCAGGUGCCACCCCGGUGUCCCCUUUCCCCCGUGUCC